CCUACGUGUGGCAGCAGUGGGGAAUAUUGGGCAAUGGGCGCAAGCCUGACCCAGCAACGCCGCGUGAAGGAAGAAGGCUUUCGGGUUGUAAACUUCUUUUCUCAGGGACGAAGAAAGUGACGGUACCUGAGGAAUAAGCCACGGCUAACUACGUGCCAGCAGCCGCGGUAAUACGUAGGUGGCAAGCGUUAUCCGGAUUUACUGGGUGUAAAGGGCGUGUAGGCGGGGAAGCAAGUCAGAUGUGAAAACCACGGGCUCAACCUGUGGCCUGCAGUUGAAACUGUUUGUCUUGAGUACUGGAGAGGCAGACGGAAUGCGUGGUGUAGCGGUGAAAUGCUUAGAUAUUAGGAAGAACACCAGUGGCGAAGGCGGUCUGCUGGACAGCAACUGACGCUGAGGCGCGAAAGCGUGGGGAGCGAACAGGAUUAGAUACCCGAGUAGUC
rnacentral:rRNA from 1 species